rnacentral:tRNA from 1 species
GACCGUGUGGCCUAAUGGAUAAGGCGUCUGACUUCGAAUCAGAAGAUUCCAGGUUCGAGUCCUGGCACGGUCG